rnacentral:rRNA from 1 species
GCCUAAUACUCGCGAGUCCAACGAUACCAGGGAGCUUGCUUUCUCGGGAAAGUGUCGCACCGGGUGCGUAUCGCAUAUGCAACCUACGUUAGUCGGGGGGAUACCCUCUGAAAGGAAAAAUUAACACCGUUAAAAAUCACAGUCCGGCAUCGGACAAUGACAUUUAUUUAUAGGAUUAAAAUGGGAAUGCGUGACAUUAGCUAGUUGGUAAGGUAACGGCUUACCAAGGCUACGAUGUCUAGGGGAUCUAAGAGGAUGACCCCCCACACGGGUACUGAGACGCGGACCAGACUCCUACGGGAGGCAGCAGUAAGGAAUAUUGGUCAAUGGGGGCAACCCUGAACCCUUCCUGCCGCGUGCAGGAAGACGGCCCUCCGGGUUGUAAACUGCUUUUAUACGGGAAUUACCCCUCUACGUGUAGAGGGUUGAAUGUACUGUACCAAUAAGGAUCGGCUAACUCCGUGCCAUCAGCCGCGGUAAUACCGAGGAUCCAAACGUUUUCCCGAUUUUUGGGGUUGAAGGCGUGCGUAUGCGGCCUAUUACUCCUGGGGUGAAAGACGGCGGCUCACCCACCGCACUGCCUUUGAUCCUGAUGGGCUU